AUCCAGCUGACGAGUUUCAAAUAGGACGAAACGCACGUCGAGCUGAAU
rnacentral:hammerhead_ribozyme from 1 species